GAACCUCAGUAGGGGUUGUGAAUGCAACCCCAUCUAAGCUCCUCCUCCUGCACCCAGGUGCAGAUAAAAGGGCCAAGAUGGCUAAAGUCAGCCUCUGUUGGUUUCCUCCUAGGGUGGAUCCCCUGCUGCUGUUUUGUAUGGUUUUAGUUGUUCUGGUUAGCUGUUUUGUUUUGUUUUGGUUCCGUUUGCUAUUUUGUUUUGGUUGCUUUGCUUAAGUUUGCUUUUGUGUUAUUUUCCCUUUUCUGUUUCAUUGUUUGACCUUUGGUUUGCUGGGUUACUUAACCCCUGUUUUGCAGUUUGGUUUGGUUUUGAUCCUGUUUUCUUUAUUUAGUUAUUGUAAUAAAAGAAACGGUUAAUAUAGUUAUUGUCUCUGCCUCUUUAGUUCUUGAACCUGUGUCCUUAUUAUUUCUGUAAUAUCAUAGUUUAACUUUCUUUGUUCUAUAUUUCCUGGGGUGUAAUUCCCCAGGUGGCGUUGUCGGUCCCUCUUUAGUUAUUUCCCCCUCCCCUCGUUAAUAUUGACUGUUGCACUGAGCCCCGUCACAAAUGCUAUCAAAAUUCCGUUUAGAUAGUAUUGAAGAUACAAGUGUGUAGAUUUGUUAAAUGGUUUGCACGAAGAUAAACGGUUGAAAAUUGAUUUAGUUAUGUUACUUCUACAGUUGAAGUACGACUGAUGAUUUGAAUCAUCGUCUUUCAGGGUUUUCUUCGGGUUUAUUUUUUUCUCACGUCGCGCCCCCCCUGAAGAACUCUGGCGCCCCCCAGGGGGGGCGCGCCCCACAGUUUGAAAACCACUGACCUACACCAUUCAGGCAGUACAGAGACACACAGUACAGAGAAAGGAAAUAGAGUGUUCAACUGAAAGCGUGUGGUGGCCAUACGCCAUAAAAUACCACAUAUCCAAGGAAUGCAGGUAGAGCUCUGUUGAGUUUUCAGGCUUUGAUAAAUUUGUAGUUCCCUGUCUGCCAUGUUUGAAGUUCUUUGUAGUCUCUGUCCAUAGGUUUCACCUGAACAACCCCUCUGCUGGCCGAGAAAAGGAACUACCCAUGGUUUCUCUCACACCCAGCCCCCAGAGCACGCUCGCUUUCAAGGCGUUAUGGCCGCACCCAACGUGGGAGGGAGACACCCUUAUCUGUUGUCUUGCACCAAACAGCACCCCGUACUGAGGAGGGAGAGAGAGCGUGUUCUCCUGAAGGAGGGAGAGAGUCACAGGGAGACACACAGUGGAUAUUCACAUUAUGGCUAAUUUGUUUUAGUUUUUGUUUUGUUUUUUGUCUUCCUAGGACAACAGUUAUCAUUCAUGAUGAUGAACAUCGAAGUUCAUGAGGAGGUUAUAAGGACAAUAACGUUGAUACUUUAAUAGGACAACAGUGAUGAUAAUCUAAUGCAAUUGGACUAAAGAAGGUGUUGCUAUUAACUAAGUGAUUAAUAUUAUUUUCACACAGGAAAGAAUAAUUGAAUAAAUAUGGAUAUGAUUAAAGGAGAAUAAUAAUAAUAAAAUAAAUUAAUCUUGAUAAACUGUACAAGUAGGACUACACCUAUUAAAAUAUGGGGUAUAUCUCUUUGGUCAAGGAUGACAGGUGGAUUAGCGCUACAUCUGCUGGGAAGGGA